AUCGUCUUGAGAGCGUCAUCGCAAACAACGAUAUUGUUUGCGAAAAAUACCGAACCGAAUUUUAUAUUAUUAAUAUUCGGCCAUAUCCAUGCCUAUUACACCAACCUUAUAAAAACGGCCGGCACCAGUGCACGGAUACUGCAGUCGGUGUUCAGCUAACGUUGUAUUCCAAUCGAAGCGAACUAUUCGUAUUUUCUAGACUUCAACAACUCUACCAUGACAUUUAACAGGACGGUUAGUUAUUAAUU